GGUUCCAUAGUGUAGGGUUAGCAUGUCUGCUUUACAAGCAAAUGGUCCUGGGUUUGCGUCUCAGUGGAGCCA
rnacentral:tRNA from 1 species